rnacentral:rRNA from 1 species
UACGUAGGGUGCAAGCGUUGUCCGGAAUUAUUGGGCGUAAAGAGCUCGUAGGCGGUUUGUCGCGUCGAAUGUGAAAACCCGGGGCUCAACCCCGGGAGGCGGGCGGAUACUGUCGGGCUAGAGUCCGGAAGAGGCGAGUGGAAUUCCUGGUGUAGCGGUGAAAUGCGCAGAUAUCAGGAGGAACACCAAUGGCGAAGGCAGCUCGCUGGGACGGUACUGACGCUGAGGCGCGAAAGCGUGGGGAGCAAACAGG